GGAAUUCUUAUUAGAAGAAAGAAAAAGAACUACUUUCCUAUACGACUAAUUAUUCGUUUUUUCACUUCAGAGAUAGUCUCUCGCUGAUUCCGAGUCCCCGAUUUAAAAUUCGAAGACUAUAGGAUCUCGGGAAUAUGAGGAAUCAUCGUCAAGAAUAACUGACAACGAGUGUCGACGGAUGCAGAACCCGAUUCAUCCCGUUCCUGUAAGGGUACGGCUGUGUAUAAUACGAUCGCAGAGUCAUUCAGCUCUGCCGAUAAUUUACCCCCAGAGGCGGGUGAUUUUAACAACGAAAUUAGUCAGUCGACUAUCGCUGCUGUCGUUAUGUUGUGAUAAAGGUAACGGACGAGUUAUUCUUGAAAUCGAACGACAGAGUUCGAGGAAAGUGUGAGUAAUUCUCAGUCGAAUAAGGAAGACCACCGCGGUAGUUUCGCUCCCACGCGCGAGGCGUCAGGGUAUCCAACGGUGGAUGCCAUUCUUCCUCUUCUUUUUUACACCAAAUUGACGUCGGCCAGCCUGGGAUCUAAAUGUACGAAUGGAUCACGGAUCACGGGACAGACCCCGCCGAUCCUCGAGGUUUCUACGGUUCGUCGCGCGUCGAAUUGCCGACGCCGCAGCCAGCGACUAAAGCAGAUCGGCUGAAACAAGGUGAAAAAGCUUUGUGCCUGCCGUAGAAGACACAAAUAAACUUCAAAAUAAAGCCGUUAAAAAGCCAAAGAGGGUGACGAUGAUCAUGGCGAGCAUAUUCUGGGGUGGCAGGAAAGGGCGAAUGGGAGACGCAUUCAUCGGGGUGAAACAGGAUAGUCGUAUCCGACUUUGUAUAGGCGAGCCGGCGGUGCACCGUCCAGCAAAAACAGGGGUAGGCGGAGCUCUCUGACGAGCCGGUAACUGCCUGUGAAUAAUUUAAUAUUAUAUGUCUUUCGUCCCCUUUCAUUCUUCGGUUGAAACCCCCGGAUCGCCCAAGUCUGUUUCCAUCCCCGAUUCCGUCUAGCCGACCACGUUUUCACCGCAGCUUCGAUUUG
rnacentral:lncRNA from 1 species